rnacentral:siRNA from 1 species
CGGGUGUUGAUAUUUAUCAA